GGACUCUCUGGAGGCUCCAGCCCCCCACCCACAGGGCCACCCUCCACCCCUGGUGAGUCACUGAGGCCUCUUGGGGAGCGCGGCCUCCCCAGGGCAGUCUGAGUCUCCAGAAGGAUCCCAUUCCCCUCCCCUCAAGGACAGGCUGGUGUCCCAGGGACUCUGAGGCUAGGCUGGUCUGGGAAGAUACCUGGAGGCUUUGAUUGGGGUCUCGGCGGCCUUCGUCCUGCUGUUCUUCCUCCUCCUCUGCCUCCUCCUCCGACGUCAACGUCAGAGCAAACACAAGAUAUCGGACCAGAGAAAGACUGAUUUCCAGCGUCCUGCAGGGGCUGCGGAGCCAGAGCCCAAGGACAGGGGCCUGCUGAGGAGGUCCAGCCCGGCUGCUGACGUCCAGGAAGAAAACCUCUGUAAGAGAAAGAGAAGGGACAAAUGGGGUGCUGGGGAGACCCAAAAUUUCAGUAGCAACAGGGAGGGGCUGGGAAGGGUCUGGGGCUCCGUGGAAGAUGGUCUCGCCCCCCACUGUGGGACCUCCCUGGAUUUCAGUGGCCCUAGUGGGAGCUGGGCAGGGGCUAGCGGGACUCAGAGGCCUCAGGGGUCCUUCCCAGGAGACGAACCCCUUGCUCUGGCCCAGCAGAUGCUGCCGUGAAGGACACACAGCCUGAGGACGGGGUGGAGCUGGACAGUCGGGUGAGACCCCGCCCCUGUCCCGGGCACCAAAGGCCUCCUGGUGCCAGAUCUAAUCCAGGAGGACUUCUCUGUCCUCUUCCCCG
rnacentral:lncRNA from 1 species